UACGAACUGUGCGAACGUUAUUCGGAAUCACUGGGCUUACAGGGUGCGUAGGCGGCUUUUCAGGUCAGGUGUGAAAGCCCCCGGCUCAACCGGGGAACUGCGCUUGAAACCGAAAGGCUCGAGUCAGCUAGAGGUACACGGAACUUCCAGUGGAGCGGUGAAAUGUGUUGAUAUUGGAAGGAACACCGGAGGCGAAAGCGGUGUACUGGGGCUGGUCUGACGCUGAGGCACGAAAGCCAGGGGAGCGAACGGGAUUAGAUACCCCGGUAGUCCUGGCCGUAAACGAUGAGUGCUGGACGGGAGGGGGUUCGCCCUCUCCGGUCGGAGCGAAAGCGGGAAGCACUCCGCCUGGGGAGUGUGGUCGCAAGGCUGAA
rnacentral:rRNA from 1 species